rnacentral:rRNA from 1 species
AGCGCCGGCGAGGUGAUAUGAACCUUUGACCCGGCGAUGUCCGAAUGGGGAAACCCAGUGUGUUUCGACACACUAUCGUUAACUGAAUACAUAGGUUAACGAGGCGAACCGGGGGAACUGAAACAUCUAAGUACCCCGAGGAAAAGAAAUCAACCGAGAUUCCCCCAGUAGCGGCGAGCGAACGGGGAGCAGCCCGGAGUCUGAAUCAGCUUGUGUGUUAGUGGAACGGUCUGGAAAGUCCGACGGUACAGGGUGAUAGUCCCGUACACGAAAAUGCACAGGUUGUGAACUCGAAGAGUAGGGCGGGACACGUGGUAUCCUGUCUGAAUAUGGGGGGACCAUCCUCCAAGGCUAAAUACUCCUGACUGACCGAUAGUGAACCAGUACCGUGAGGGAAAGGCGAAAAGAACCCCGGCGAGGGGAGUGAAAAAGAACCUGAAACCGUGUACGUACAAGCAGUGGGAGCCUACUUGUUAGGUGACUGCGUACCUUUUGUAUAAUGGGUCAGCGACUUAUAUUCUGUAGCAAGGUUAACCGUAUAGGGGAGCCGAAGGGAAACCGAGUCUUAACUGGGCGUUAAGUUGCAGGGUAUAGACCCGAAACCCGGUGAUCUAGCCAUGGGCAGGUUGAAGGUUGGGUAACACUAACUGGAGGACCGAACCGCCUAAUGUUGAAAAAUUAGCGGAUGACCUGUGGCUGGGGGUGAAAGGCCAAUCAAACCGGGAGAUAGCUGGUUCUCCCCGAAAGCUAUUUAGGUAGCGCCUCGUGAAUUCAUCUUCGGGGGUAGAGCACUGUUUCGGCUAGGGGGCCAUCCCGGCUUACCAACCCGAUGCAAACUACGAAUACCGAAGAAUGUUAUCACGGGAGACACACGGCGGGUGCUAACGUCCGUCGUGAAGAGCGAAACAACCCAGACCGCCAGCUAAGGUCCCAAAGUCAUGGUUAAGUGGGAAACGAUGUGGGAAGGCACAGACAGCCAGGAUGUUGGCUUAGAAGCAGCCAUCAUUUAAAGAAAGCGUAAUAGCUCACUGGUCGAGUCGGCCUGCGCGGAAGAUGUAACGGGGCUAAACCAUGCACCGAAGCUGCGGCAGCGACGCUUAUGCGUUGUUGGGUAGGGGAGCGUUCUGUAAGCCGUUGAAGGUGGCCUGUGAGGGUUGCUGGAGGUAUCAGAAGUGCGAAUGCUGACAUAAGUAACGAUAAAGCGGGUGAAAAGCCCGCUCGCCGGAAGACCAAGGGUUCCUGUCCAACGUUAAUCGGGGCAGGGUGAGUCGACCCCUAAGGCGAGGCCGAAAGGCGUAGUCGAUGGGAAACAGGUUAAUAUUCCUGUACUUGGUGUUACUGCGAAGGGGGGACGGAGAAGGCUAUGUUAGCCGGGCGACGGUUGUCCCGGUUUAAGCAUGUAGGCGGAGGUUCCAGGUAAAUCCGGUACCUUUUAACGCUGAGGUGUGAUGACGAGGCACUACGGUGCUGAAGUAACAAAUGCCCUGCUU